rnacentral:tRNA from 1 species
GGGCCUGUGGUGUAUGCAGUAACAUGUUGCCUUUGACACGCAACGAAACGGGUGCAAAUCCCGUCAGGUCCA